rnacentral:rRNA from 1 species
GACGAAGGAUGCAAGCGUUAUCCGGAUUCAUUGGGUUUAAAGGGUGCGUGGGCGGACUUGUAAGUCAGUGGUGAAAUCUCUCAGCUUAACUGAGAAACUGCCAUUGAUACUGCAGGUCUUGAGUACAGAUGAUGUUGGCGGAAUAUGACAUGUAGCGGUGAAAUGCAUAGAUAUGUCAUAGAACACCGAUUGCGAAGGCAGCUGACAAAACUGUAACUGACGCUGAGGCACGAAAGUGUGGGGAUCAAACAGG